rnacentral:rRNA from 1 species
GUCUAUGGCCAUGCCACCCUGAACGUGCCCAAUCUCGUCUGAUCUCAGAAGCUAAGCAGGGUUGGGCCUGGUUAGUGCUUGGAUGGGAGACCACCUAGGAAUACCAGGUGCCGUAGGCA